CUUCUCUAAAUUGUACUGCAAGGUUUUGGCAGCCAGAGCUCCCACUCCUUGCCACCAUCCCACCGCCACCACUGGAGGUGCUGAAGGCCAAGUACAAGCCAUCCGGGUGGAAACCUGUAUUUGAAGGUCUGCACCGCGGGCCACUGUAGGCAGAAAAUCAAGUUGGGAGUCUGAGGAAAGCUACUCUAAUCAUAGAAAAAUUCUUGUAUUAUUUGUGUUUCUCAAAUCUCACUACUCAGAGUGGGAGCCGCGGACCAGCAGCAGUAGCAGCAAUGCCUGGGAGCUUGCUAGAAACACAGAAUGUCACUCCCCACCCCAGACUAAUGAGAAUCUGCGUCUUGACAAGAUCCCUGGCUGAUGCCUGUACAGCUUUACAGUUUGAAGAGCACUGGUCUAAAGGCAACAAAUCAUGAAGAUUUUAUUUCAAAAAUCCAAGGGCCCUUGGGACCCCAGAGAAUGCCACUUCACUUGAAUAAAACCAGACCUGGGUGCCCUCUCUACCACGGGGGAAUUGCCACUUUGACCCUCCUGAACACUCUACUUAAGACUCAGGUGUGUCCCUCUUGUCUCAUCCUUCAGUGAGCCCCCACGACUGGAAGCGCCCGUGGGCAAGGACACAGGUCACGGGGCAACCUCUGCCCUCAUGUGUG
ensembl:lncRNA novel transcript